rnacentral:lncRNA from 1 species
AUCAGGAAGUGAUGUGAAUGGCUGUCCUAUGGGAUACAGCUUAGGCUUCUUCUGCUGCGUUUAGGAUCCAGAUCCUAAUUCAUUGGUAUCCAUCCUUCUGGUGAGACUCUCCACUAUCUGGCACACAAUAGGUGCUUAAAAAUAUUGACUGACUGAUUAUAAAUAUAUCGAGGGUCCAAUCCAACCCGCUGGAGGGCCUCCUUCAUUUCUCCAUUAUAAUUUCACACGUGGGGCACUCUAGUGAUCAGCUAGUCUAGUUGGAACUGCGUUUAGUUGGAAACUCAGAUGGACUGGAAAAAGAUGGCCAAAGGGAGCCCAAAAGUCGAUUGUGAAAAAUUGUUUAAGGAAAGGAGAGAAAAGAAAGGAAGUUAAUUCAAUGUGAUUUUACAACUGCUUAAGAACUCCCCUUCCUCUAAAUCUCUGCUCAGGACUUGGUCUUCUCAUUUAUCUCAGCUCAUGGAUCUUAACAUUUUAUAGACAUCCUGCUACUAGUGGCAGUUGGU